ACAAGAAAACAAGCCUAGGCUCUGAUACCACUGUUGGGUUUUGAGCAUUCUAACACUCCUAAGUGUGCAUGCAACCCUAAAUACCUUGGAUCUAUGUUUUCUCUAUUAUACAUGCAAAUAAGAACUUCCAAGGUAUUAUCCUAAUCUAGCAUACAAAUCAAUGAAUGUAACAAGAUAGAAUACAUACCUUUUGAUGUAGCUUGNGUAACAAGAUAGAAUACAUACCUUUUGAUGUAGCUUGAUGUCUUCAAGCUUUAAGAGCUUAGCCCCAAUAGUGUGGAAGCCUCAAGUGGAAUCACAAAUCACCAAAACACCUUGGAAGACUUUAGAGAAUAUAGAUACUUGGUUCUCUCUAGUGAAAUUGGCUAGCCCUUCUUAGUGUAUCCACACUAGUGCCAAUUUCACCAACCAAGGACAUCUUUAUAUAGUGUGGAGGAUUAGGGUUAAACCCCAAUACCCAUGACCUUUCAUUUCCUAGGAUCCAUGGGUUAAACACUCCAUAGACUAUCCAUGAAAGCUUAGCCCAACCUAAAUAAACUUGGCUCAUUCCAUAUAUAUAAGAGUCCAUAUUUAAUUAAUUCCCUUUGAUCACUUAAUUAAUUAUAAAUUAAUUCUUGAUCAAUACUAAUUAAAUAAUAUGAUUCCAUAUUAAUAUAUUAGAACUUAUAAUAUAUUAAUAUUAAUCAUAAACAUACUAUUCUCAAAAGAUUAUCCAUAUAAAUUGUGUCGGUG
rnacentral:lncRNA from 1 species